rnacentral:rRNA from 1 species
CCUGGCUCAGGAUGAACGCUAGCGGCAGGCUUAACACAUGCAAGUCGAGGGGCAUCGGGAGUAGCAAUACUGCCGGCGACCGGCGCAAGGGUGCGUAACGCGUGAGCAACAUGCCCGUAUCAGGGGGAUAAUCCAUGGAAACGUGGUCUAAUACCCCAUAGUAAUUAUGUAAGGCAUCUUAUAUAAUUUAAAGCUUUGGUGGAUACGGAUUGGCUCGCGUGACAUUAGCUGGAUGGUAAGGUAACGGCUUACCAUGGCUACGAUGUCUAGGGGUUCUGAGAGGAAGGUCCCCCCACACUGGAACUGAGACACGGUCCAGACUCCUACGGGAGGCAGCAGUGAGGAAUAUUGGACAAUGGAUGGAAAUCUGAUCCAGCCAUGCCGCGUGCAGGAAAAGACGGCCCUAUGGGUUGUAAACUGCUUUUGUAUGGGAGCAAUAAGGGCUACGUGUAGUCCGAUGAGAGUACCAUACGAAUAAGCACCGGCUAACUCCGUGCCAGCCGCAGC